AUUGAACGCUGGCGGCAGGCCUAACACAUGCAAGUCGAGCGAGCGGCGGACGGGUGAGUAAUGUAUGGGAAACUGCCCGAUGGAGGGGGAUAACUACUGGAAACGGUAGCUAAUACCGCAUACUAUCAGAUGUGCCCAGAUUGGAUUAGCUAGUAGGUGGGGUAAUGGCUCACCUAGGCGACGAUCCCUAGCUGGUCUGAGAGGAUGCCCAGCCAAACUGGAACUGAGACACGGUCCAGACUCCUACGGGAGGCAGCAGUGGGGAAUAUUGCACAAUGGGCGCAAGCCUGAUGCAGCCAUGCCGCGUGUAUGAAGAAGGCCUUAGGGUUGUAAAGUACUUUCAGCGGGGAGGCGUUACUCGCAGAAGAAGCACCGGCUAACUCCGUGCCAGCCGCCGCGGUAAUAC
rnacentral:rRNA from 1 species